rnacentral:sRNA from 1 species
GACCGACUCAGUACCUUGACAGUACGUGUGUGAUACGACUAAGCUCCCUCCUCUGCCAACUACAGAUAUGACCCAUGGAACAACAAUUAAACUAACAGUGAACGGUUUGGGAAUCGCUCAUAUGCGCCAGGUCUGCUAGUUCCAUAUCGAAAACUUACCCUGGUAUUUUCGCCCAAGGUCCUCAAAUUCGGGAUUGAUAAAAUGCGCGAAAUGAAUGACCAUCUGUCGAAGAUAUAUAGUUAUUUCCACUUUGAACGAUUAUUCUACGAAUAUCUAUGAUACCUUUUGAAAAAAAAUUAAAUUAGCCGCCUAACCUAUACUCAGUAUCCAAAGGAACUAUACAUUUCCCAUAGCCUGUUCAAUUAAACGAUGGAACCGCACCGAUCAAGGAAGAAUUUCGAAAAGAUUUCAUAACAAAAUGUGCAGCCGGGAUAUCAUCUUAAUCGAAGGUGAUAGCAGCCUUAAUAGCGGAUUUAUUCCUCAUUGACUCUAAGCAUUCAGCCCAUUGUUCGAGCUUGAAAACCUUGUUCACAAUUCCAUUAACUUUAACUUUGCCGGUAUCAAGGUAAUCGAUAGCAGCAGGGAAUUUUAUAUUUAAAAAAUAGGGAAAAAACGAAAAGACUUACAGAUCUUUGAUGGUGGCCACGAAACGCGGUCAGCGUGGGCGUACACCCCGUACACAACGAGCUUACCACCGCGGCGGCAAUAGUUGAUGGCAUCUUCCAGAAUCUUGACACUACCGGUGGCCUCGACGACAAUGUCGAAUCCAUAUGGAUUAUCCGCUUUCAGUUUGGCGAAUUGAGCGCUAGGAUCUUUGCGUGAGAGUGCAAUGUAUUCAUCACCGGCGUUGAGAGACUUGGCCAGAUUCAUUUUGAGGCCUUCAGGCGCAGCAAUUACGACUUUGCAGCCGCCGUUCAGUCGGAGCAUUUGGGCAAGGACCUAGCAGAAAGAUCGAUGAGAAAAUAGGUCAGGGGAAAGAUUGUACUUUCCUCAGACAUCAGUGAAAACUUACGAGACCAGUCGGCCCAGCGCCAAACAUAAGGACUGUCGAGCCCAUCUUGGGAGCAAUCUUAUCGACACCAUGUGCAGCACAUGAUGCCGGUUCAAGCAACGUGGCAUCAACAUCAGAAAGGUUUUUGAUCUUAAAUACCCGACCAGCUAAAAGCACGCAGAAAAUGUCAGGAGCCGUUUUUCCCCCUUUUAUUAAACUACCGGAUGUCUUCAGCAGUUGGGAACUUUAUCUUACCUGGAUAGGCACAAUAUUCAGCGAAACCUCCGUUCAUCGUCACACCGUGAAGUUUGAUGUGCUCGCAGAGAAGCUCCUCUCCCCGUCGGCAGUAGAAGCACGAUCCGCAGGUCUCCGAGUUAUCGGCGACGACUCGGUCACCAACAUUGAAACCUUCGACCUUGGGGCCGUAGGCAGCGACUACACCAACAGUUUCAUGUCCUAAUUUGCAGAGAUUCAGCAUUUGAAAUCCAAGAGUUGAGAGAAAUUUGAGCCAAAAUAUGUGUCAUACCAGGAACCAAAGGGAACUAUACAUGUCACUAAAUUAGCUUCCCGAACAUACGGCGAAAUAUACUUCAAAAUCUCCAAAUCUAGGGGGGAGAUUCUGAGCUUACCUUUGCAAGGAAUUCUCCUUCGUGGAUAUGGAGGUCUGUGCCGCAGACACCGCAGGCUUUGACUUUAAUCUACAAAAUGCAGAGUCGGAAGAAUUAAAAAGAAUACUCAACACCAAUGACGAGACAUAUCGAAUGCAAUGAAAAGAUUUCGCAAGAGGCCUCCUACCAGGACAUCAUUCUCACGUAGGGUUGGGACAGGGAUAUUGACGAUUCCGAACUCCUCUUCCUUGGAGUACCUAAACUCAAAAAUUUGAAAACAUUGUUAGCAAACGACGGAGGAAAGUUCGAUCAAUCGCAUCCACACUAUCUUCUCGAAGGUCUUGGGGAUUUGAGCGGCCAUUUUGUCUGAGAGAGGUUCACUACUCGAUCUAGUGUCAAUUACAAGUGCUAGUUGAGUUCGCCGUCAUCUAGUAUCGACUUAAUUGCGGACAUACCUUGGGAUUCUGAGGCGUGAGAUGAAGAUUAGAGUAUGCAAAGAAUGAAAAGUGAGAGGAGAGGAAAAGGAGGAAUGAGGGUAGUUUUAAAGAAUUAGUGAAGUGAUGAGUAAGUCGAGGUCUCGUCAUCGGUACAGCGUAAUUUACAUUAUGUUGAGCGAUUUUCACCUGGGUUACGUUCAACACCUCGAUGAAGCUGUAAUUUAUUUUUUUGGCUCUGUGAGCCUUGCCUCGGCGAUUCCAUAUGGCACGAAAGCUUCAACUGGCCGUGUUUUCUUUGGAUUUGGAAGGUUUAUAGGAACCAAUUCCAAUUGAUUUCGAUCCCCUUUGUCUCAGUCAAAUGACAUACGAAAGCUCCGUCUUUUCCACCAGGUACACCACGCGGGAGAGGGCUGUUAGUUGGCGAGUGCCAUCAGUGCUCGUGGUGACAAUGAUUGGGGCUCCGAAGCAAUGUCCCUGGGUCUGAGGGCAGGGUUUACCUGCAAGGAUUCUUGUCAGCUAUGGAGUCAAUUGUGGAUAAAGAACCAAGACGACAGGCGGGGAAGCAUUGAUAGUACCUUCGCAUAUCAGAUUACCGGUCGAGAAAGCUUGAGCCCUUUGUUUUGUCUCUUUUUUUGGACCAAAAACUAGAUAAAUAGUAGAUAAAUAAAUAAAUAAAUAAUUUUUUUUUAAAAAAAAAAAAAAAAAAAAAAAAAAACAACCUACCACCGGGAACUUUUUUGUUCUCAUCGCCACCUAAAUGAUGACCUCCUUCGGCUUUGAACUGCCCCUCCAAGCGCAGUUAAAGCGGCGAUGGAAAUCCCAGUCCUAACCUACACUGCCGGAGGAUCCAAAAGGAAUUAUAGUGAUGACAUCAACACUGCCCUUCCGUGCUCUUCCGUUCAGAGAAUUAAAGGCUUUGGAGGACGGUUGAAAAUGCAUCCAUCAUCAUUGCAGCUCUUAGUGGCAGGAACAAAAAAUCCAGGAAAAUCUAGAUGAAAGCUUAGGAAUGCCUCCGGGAUCUAGUUAGCCAAAAACUUACAACGAAGAAAAUACAAAUAACUAAAAUAUGGAGA